UACGUAGGGGGCGAGCGUUGUCCGGAAUUACUGGGCGUAAAGGGCACGCAGGCUGUGCUGUAAGUCAGCUGUUAAAGGAUGCGGCUUAACCGUGUUAUGCAGUUGAAACUGCAGUGCUGGAGUACCGAAGAGGCAAGUGGAAUUCCCAGUGUAGCGGUGAAAUGCGUAGAUAUUGGGAAGAACACCGGUGGCGAAGGCGACUUGCUGGUCGGUAACUGACGCUGAGGUGCGAAAGCCAGGGGAGCAAACGGG
rnacentral:rRNA from 1 species